GGGGGUGGCCUGCGGGAAACGGGGAGGCUGGAGAGGAAAGCCUGUCACCGGGCGGAGCUUUGCCUCCUGUCCCGUCCCCCGCCCGCCGUCCUCUCCGGCGAGCGCCGGUGUCCGCGCUCAGGUUCCUGCUUCCCGCUCGGUCCAAGCUCCAGGUUCCUCCUUCCCCGCGUAACGAAGGUUCCUCCAAGAAUCGGCUGGACCGGUGGCUGCAACUUCCUCACCUCCUGUCAACUAUUAAGAAUUUUUUAAAUAAAAAAGUAGAAAAGUCGUAUACGAAAA